UACGUAGGUGGCAAGCGUUGUCCGGAUUUAUUGGGUUUAAAGGGUGCGUAGGCGGCCCCGUAAGUCAGUGCUGAAAUAUCCCGGCUUAACCGGGAGGGUGGCAUUGAUACUGCAGGGCUUGAGUAAAGUUGAGGUAGGCGGAAUUGACGGUGUAGCGGUGAAAUGCUUAGAUAUCGUCAAGAACACCGAUAGUGUAGACAGCUUACUAAGCUUUAACUGACGCUGAGGCGCGAAAGUGUGGGGAGCAAACAGG
rnacentral:rRNA from 1 species